rnacentral:rRNA from 1 species
AACUGCGAGUGAAGCGGGAAAAGCUCAAAUUUAAAAUCUGGCGGUCUUUGGCCRUCCGAGUUGUAAUUUAGAGAAGCGUCUUCCGCGCCGGUCCGUGCACAAGUCUCCUGGAAUGGAGCGUCAUAGAGGGUGAGAAUCCCGUCUUUGGCACGGAUGACCCGGUGCUUCUGUGAUGCGCUCUCGAAGAGUCGAGUUGUUUGGGAAUGCAGCUCAAAAUGGGUGGUGAACUCCAUCUAAAGCUAAAUAUUGGCGAGAGACCGAUAGCGAACAAGUACCGUGAGGGAAAGAUGAAAAGCACUUUGGAAAGAGAGUGAAACAGUACGUGAAAUUGUUGAAAGGGAAACGCUUGAAGUCAGUCGCGUUGACCGAGACUCAGCCUUGCCUCGGCUUGGUGUACUUCUCGGCUCGACGGGUCAGCAUCAAUUUCACCCCUCGGAUAAUGGCAAGGGAAAGGUGGCACCUUUGCGGGUGUGUUAUAGUCUCCUGUCGCAUGCGAGGGGUGGGAUUGAGGAACUCAGCGUGCGCCUCGGCGUCGGGGCUUCG